UGGUAAGGACCUAAUUAACACUCCUGACU
rnacentral:piRNA from 1 species